AAGUUUCCGUUGUUAUGAUACAUUUAGAGGAACUCUAGUGAUACUUACUGCAGCGAUUUGUAUCAGCUUAAUAUUAAAGAAAGAAAGUAGACCUCUAAAAUCGCCUCAGAAACAGAUCUAAUAAUUAAAGAUCCAAUAUUAAGUGUCAUAGCUAUUUUAAUAGNGCUUGCAUGCUUAUAAAAGGAUAAGGAUAAAAAAGAAAAUGUUGCUCUUUGAAGUGAG